rnacentral:rRNA from 1 species
GAUUUUAGCGGCGGACGGGUGAGUAACACGUGGGCAACCUACCUUGUAGAUUGGGAUAACUCCGGGAAACCGGGGCUAAUACCGAAUAAACCAUUUUGCUUCAUGGCAAGAUGUUGAAAGGCGGUUUCGGCUGUCACUGCAGGAUGGGCCCGCGGCGCAUUAGCUAGUUGGUGGGGUAAUGGCCUACCAAGGCGACGAUGCGUAGCCGACCUGAGAGGGUGAUCGGCCACACUGGGACUGAGACACGGCCCAGACUCCUACGGGAGGCAGCAGUAGGGAAUCUUCCGCAAUGGACGAAAGUCUGACGGAGCAACGCCGCGUGAGUGACGAAGGUUUUCGGAUCGUAAAACUCUGUUGUGAGGGAAGAACACGUACCAGCUAACUACUGGUACCUUGACGGUACCUCACCAGAAAGCCACGGCUAACUACGUGCCAGCAGCCGCGGUAAUACGUAGGUGGCAAGCGUUGUCCGGAAUUAUUGGGCGUAAAGCGCGCGCAGGCGGUCCUUUAAGUCUGAUGUGAAAGCCCACGGCUCAACCG